ensembl:lncRNA
GGCAGCUCAAGUUUAAAUGCGGAAUAUGGCUGGACGCCCCUUCUCUCUCUUUCACGCUCUCUCUCUCUCUCUCUCUCUCUCUCGCGCUCACACUGUCUUUUCCUCCCUCUCAUUCUUUUCCUCCUUCCCCAUGCCCCUCUUUCCUUUUCUCUACUACUUUUCUCAUCUUCUUCAUCUUCUUCCCAUGCCUUUUUCCAUUUUCUCCCUCUUGCACUUUUUUCCUCCUUCCCCAUGCCAUUUUUUUCAUUUCCUCUACUUUGUCUUGGUCCACAUGCCUUUCUUUUUUCUCCACCACUCUUUCUGGUUUCCCUUCUUCCAUUUUAUCUUGCUCUCUUUGGUUUUCGUCUCCCUCUCCUUCUUCCUCAAGCUUUUCUCCUUCAUGUCCUCCACCUCUUUCUCCCCCUCCUUCCCAUUCGAUCUUAUUCAUCCACUCCUUUUUCUUCCCCAUGCUUCUCUCCUUCAUUUUCACCAUCACUCUCCCUGUUUUCCCUUUCCCUGCAUCUCAUUCUCUUAUUUUAUCCAUCUCCUUGGCUCUCCUUUUCUUUUUGCUCGUUUCCCUUCUGUCCUUCUCAUCCUCUUUCUGCAGGCCUUUUCACCACCUCUCUCUCUCUGCUUUUUUUUCUUAUUCCCCCCUUUUCUUCCUAUGCCUCUUACCCCUCUUUUUUUCUUUCUCCUGCUUCUUGCUUUCUUCCUUAUUCAUGCUUUUCUUGCUCAUUUCUUCCACAUCUCCCUGUUUUUCCCCAUCCCUUCUUCUUGCUCACGCUUUUCUCUUUCAAUUUCUUCACAUCUCACCAUCCCUCUGUCUAUCUCACUCCUCCUUUCUUAUUCGUUUUCUCUCCCUCUUUAUUUUUCCCCAUCUUCCUCCUGCUUUCCCUUUGUUUCACCACUUUUCUCCCUCCUCUAGUGCCCUCUUUGUUUUUCUCCCUUUCCUUCUUCUUUGUCUCUCCACAUCUUUCGCCGUUCUUCCCUCCCUUUCUUUUUAUCAUUUCUCUCAUUUCUUUUUUCUUCCGCCCCGUGCCUUUGUCAUUCAUUGUCUCCACCUCUUUCUGUCUUCUUCUUGCUAUGUCUCUUUCUAUUUCCUUUAUUCUCUCUCUCUCGCUCUCGCUCGCUCUCUCGCUCGCUCUCAGGAUGACCGCCACCUACCAAACAGCCUCUUGUGAGAGUGAUGGACUAACAUGGACCCGAUAAUGGCGUCAGCUUGGCCCAGACUCAGACGGCCCACUUUGGGGUCAAAGCCGCCUCUGUUCCCCGUUUAAUACGACUGUUGGCUCAGCGAGCUGACAGCUGUGUGUAAGGUCUAAACAGGAGUUACAGCCAAAGCACUUCCCAUGGAGUGGAGUGGGAGCUCAGGGUGGGCAAUAUGUCC